rnacentral:rRNA from 1 species
AACGAACGCUGGCGGCAGGCUUAACACAUGCAAGUCGAACGGGUGUAGCAAUACAUCAGUGGCAGACGGGUGAGUAACACGUGGGAACCUUCCUAGGGGUACGGAACAACUCAGGGAAACUUGAGCUAAUACCGUAUACGUCCGAGAGGAGAAAGAUUUAUCGCCCUUAGACGGGCCCGCGUCGGAUUAGCUAGUUGGUGGGGUAACGGCCUACCAAGGCGACGAUCCGUAGCUGAUCUUAGAGGAUGAUCAGCCACACUGGGACUGAGACACGGCCCAGACUCCUACGGGAGGCAGCAGUGGGGAAUCUUGGACAAUGGGCGCAAGCCUGAUCCAGCCAUGCCGCGUGAGUGAAGAAGGUCUUCGGAUUGUAAAGCUCUUUUGCCAGGGACGAUAAUGACGGUACCUGGAGAAUAAGCCCCGGCAAACUUCGUGCCAGCAGCCGCCGUAA